AUUGAACGCUGGCGGCAGGCCUAACACAUGCAAGUCGAACGAGUGGCGGACGGGUGAGUAAUGUCUGGGAAACUGCCUGACGGAGGGGGAUAACUACUGGAAACGGUAGCUAAUACCGCAUACCAUCAGAUGGGCCAAGAUGGGAUGAGGGUGUUGGUGGGGUAACGGCUCACCAAGGCGACGAUCCCUAGCUGGUAAGAGAGGAUGACCCGCCACACUGGAACUGAGACACGGUCCAGACUCCUACGGGCGGCAGCAGUGGGGAAUAUUGCACCCUUGGCGAAAGCCUGAUGCAGCCAUGCCGCGUGUAUGAAGAAGUCCUUCUGGUUGUAAAGUACUUUCAGCGGGGAGGCGUUACCCGCAGAAGAAGCACCGGCUAACUCCGUGCCAGCAGCCGCGGUAAUAC
rnacentral:rRNA from 1 species